GCCGGGAGUUGUGGCAGACGCCUGUGGUCCCAGCUACUUGGGAGGCUGAGGCAGGAGACUCGCUUGAGCCCAGUAGUUGGAGGUUGCUGUGAGCUGUGAUGUCACAGCCUCUACCCAGGGGCACAGCUUGAGGCUCUGCCUCAAAAAGAAAAAAAAAAAAAAAGAUUAUUGGUCAAUUCUCAGUUUUCUUUUUUUGAGACGGAGCCUUAAGCUAUCCCCCUGGGUAGAGUGCCAUGGCAUCACGCUCACAGCAACCUCCAACUCCUGAGCUCAAGUGAGUCUCCUGCCU
rnacentral:sRNA from 1 species